AUUAGAAACCAACGCAAAUAAUGAUCACACAUGAUCACACCACCAGUGGAGCUGCUGAUCAAAACUACUCUCCACCCCCACAUCCACAUUAAUGCCAGGGCAUGCUCAUUUGUUUUCUCAUCAUGCUGAAGUGCUCUGUCAUUAUGAAUAUGAUCCCGUAGAGCAGCUGUUGCAGCUAUGUAACCCUGUGAUUGGCUAUACCUAAUUGAACACCCCAGGCAAAGCAUUAGUAGCAAAUUAGUGUAACUGCCUCCUUCAAAGAAUACAGCAGGUCAGAAUUCCCCCAGGAAAGAAUGUUGGACUGUUUUACCAUUUUUAUUACAGUAUUACAUAGGAUACAUCCUCUUUAUGUAUCUUUAUUAGUUCUGCCCAGUGCUCAGAGAGAAGGUCAUCUGCUUUGGAGGACUAUGCAAAGGCAGAACUCCUGUAACCGUUAAGUCAGUCAUCGGGGGCAGCUUAAUGAUGAUGAAUUGUGGAAAACAUUCGGCUGAACCUCUGAAGGCAGCAGCUUGGAGCAGAACAGCCACACCUGCAUUACACACACGCUUCCCUGAGGAUAAAGCACACGCUUUUCUGAGACUAA